CAUGCAAGUCGAACGAAGUAGCAAUACUUAGUGGCAGACGGGUGAGUAACAUGUAGGUAUCUGCCCUUUGGCCUGGAAUAACACGAGGAAACUUGUGCUAAUACCGGAUAAGUCUUUACGGAGAAAGCUUUAUGCACCAUUGGAUGAGCCUGCACUUGAUUAGUUUGUUGGUGGGGUAAUGGCCUACCAAGACUUUGAUCAAUAGCUGAUUUGAGAGGAUGAUCAGCCACAUUGGGACUGAGACACGGCCCAAACUCCUACGGGAGGCAGCAGUGGGGAAUCUUGCACAAUGGAGGAAACUCUGAUGCAGCGAUGCCGCGUGAGUGAAGAGGGCCUUUGGGUUGUAAAGCUCUUUCGUCGGGGAAGAAAAUGACUGUACCCGAAUAAGAAGGUCCGGCUAACUUCGUGCCAGCAGCCGCGGUAAUACGAAGGGACCUAGCGUAGUUCGGAAUUACUGGGCUUAAAGAGUUCGUAGGUGGUUGAAAAAGUUGGUGGUGAAAUCCCAGAGCUUAACUCUGGAACUGCCAUCAAAACUUUUCAGCUAGAGUUUGAUAGAGGAAAGCAGAAUUUCUAGUGUAGAGGUGAAAUUCGUAGAUAUUA
rnacentral:rRNA from 1 species